rnacentral:lncRNA from 1 species
UAAUAUAUAUCUAGAAUAAUAUCAUACAAGUGUUAUAAUUGGUACUGAUCCAACAUAAGUGCCUAAUGGCAUCAAUAGAUAUACAUGUCCAAACUAAAAACAUUAAUGGAACAUGUUAUACAAUAAUGCCUAAAAAUAAAAAUCUAAGAACUAUAUGCAAUAUCUUCAUUGCACACAACUCCACAGCGGAAGAUCAUGAUAAA